rnacentral:lncRNA from 1 species
CUACACUAGCAUGAUCUACACUAACCAACUGUAGUAAAAGUCACAACUGACUCAAUCUCACUAGGGACUGUGAACACACCCGUCCCGCCUGUCGGAUCGAACCCGUAACCUACUCCAGGAGUAGCUGGUGGAGAAAACUCUCUAGGGACUGUGAAUACACCCAUCCCGUCUAAUUAGGUGACACCGUAGCUCAAGAGUAACCGGCAGAGAAGACUCUCUAGAGACUGUGAAUACACCCGUCUCGUCUACUAGACUACACCGUAUCUCAAGAGUAACCAGCGGAGAAAACUCUCUAAAGACUGUGAAUACACCCGUCUCGCCUAAUUAGACUACACCGUAUCUCAAGAGUAGUCGGUUCCAGAAAAGGUCCAACAGGACGGCUAAGACUCCGCUCACGUCACAACCUCCCUAAAAGUAGGAAAAAGCGUCACUCACUAUCUCACCCGGGCUGCCCAAAACGGACCCACCCUGCCUGUAUCUAGCUGCGCCGUACACCACCCCAAGGGUAGCCGUCCACCGUCAACCCCGACGGCACCCAACAGUCCGGAACAGUCUGAACGCUACUAUAAAAAUACACUCGGCAUCUCAGCACGAGCGUAACUGAAAACUAAACUACCUGGAAUACUCACUAUGAGGAUACUGCAACAGUAUAAAAUAAUACAACGGCCCCUAGGGCUAAAUCAGGUAGUUAAGCAUAUGACGAUCAUAAUCGCGAGUUUUCUCCUAAGUCUCAUUCAAGUCCAACAUGUAUAUAUAUAUCCAAAGAUAAUAACCAAGGCUCCAAUUCAGAUCAUUAACCAUACUAAAUCAAUGAACCGAGAAAUUGAGACACACAAAAUAAUUCCGCUAAUACAUGUUGACUAUAUAGGCACUUAGGAGUAAGCCGAUGAUUAACCCACCUCGAGAGCACUUUCCUGGCAGCAAGAAGGUCUCGGAUCACAAGUAACACAGCUGGAAACACCUCCAAACCAGCAACAAAUCCCCUCAAAAUCUGAACAUUACAAUUCACCCAAAAAAUCCAACAAAAC